AUUGAACGCUGGCGGCAGGCUUAACACAUGCCAGUCGAGCGGGGGAAGGUAGCUUGCUACCGGACCUAGCGGCGGACGGGUGAGUAAUGCUUAGGAAUCUGCCUAUUAGUGGGGGACAACAUCUCGAAAGGGAUGCUAAUACCGCAUACGUCCUACGGGAGAAAGCAGGGGAUCUUCGGACCUUGCGCUAAUAGAUGAGCCUAAGUCGGAUUAGCUAGUUGGUGGGGUAAAGGCCUACCAAGGCGACGAUCUGUAGCGGGUCUGAGAGGAUGAUCCGCCACACUGGGACUGAGACACGGCCCAGACUCCUACGGGAGGCAGCAGUGGGGAAUAUUGGACAAUGGGGGGAACCCUGAUCCAGCCAUGCCGCGUGUGUGAAGAAGGCCUUAUGGUUGUAAAGCACUUUAAGCGAGGAGGAGGCUACUUUAGUUAAUACCUAGAGAUAGCGGACGUUACUCGCAGAAUAAGCACCGGCUAACUCUGUG
rnacentral:rRNA from 1 species